GAGGGUAUAGCUCAGUGGUAGAGUGUGUGCUUAGCACGCACGAGGUCCUGGGUUCAAUACCUAGUACCUUCA
rnacentral:tRNA from 1 species